rnacentral:lncRNA from 1 species
CGGGUAGCGACAACGCACCCAAACCUGUUCCAGCCAAUCUUUAGCCAAUCACAUUUGGCGAGGCGGGACUUGGCUCCGUUUGUGAACAUGUCUGCGAUAAGCAACAUUUCCAAGGUGGAAGAACUAAUGACAUAAAAUGGAUGGAGUUCGACUCUGAUUAUUAACUUUUUCUUACGGACAGGUUUUUGAACAACAAAAAAAUGGCACUUGGAACGAAAGUUGUUUCACUUUGUGCGCAAACCAGCAGUUAGUCGAAUGGCUACAAAAACAUAGACUCAUCAAGUCAAGGAUGAAAUGCAGACUGUGUAAAAAAAAAAAUGAAAUUCCAGAAGACACAAACAGGCGAUGGAUUCCAAUGGAAAUGUAGAAGACGAACACAUAGUAAAGUGAAAAAGACAUGCAGGGCGGGAUCAGUUUUUGAGAAAAGCAAGGUGACCUUACAAAACUGGAUGAAGUUCAUAUACCGGUAGGUAAUAAUAGACUGUAAAAAAAAGUUUAAAUCUGCUGUUUCAGUAUUACCAGUUAAUCUCUCUCUCUCUCUUUGUGUGUGUUCUCUCUCUCUCUUUGUGUGUGUGU